rnacentral:rRNA from 1 species
AUCAAGGCGACGACGGGUAGCUGGUCUGAGAGGACUACUAGCCACACUGGAACUGAGAUACGGUCCAGACUCCUACGGGAGGCAGCAGUGGGGAAUAUUGCACAAUGGGCGAAAGCCUGAUGCAGCGACGCCGCGUGAGGGAUGAAGGCCUUCGGGUCGUAAACCUCUUUCGGCAGGGACGAAGCGAUCAGUGACGGUACCUGCAGAAGAAGCCCCGGCUAACUACGUGCCAGCAGCCGCGGUAAGACGUAGGGGGCGAGCGUUGUCCGGAUUCAUUGGGCGUAAAGCGCGCGUAGGCGGCUGCGCAAGUCGGUUGUGAAAUUCCGGGGCUCAACCCCGGAACUGCGUCCGAUACUGCGUGGCUAGAGGUAGGUAGGGGAGAUCGGAAUUCCUGGUGUAGCGGUGAAAUGCGCAGAUAUCAGGAGGAACACCGGUGGCGAAGGCGGAUCUCUGGGCCUUACCUGACGCUCAGGCGCGAAAGCUAGGGGAGCGAACAGGAUUAGAUACCCUGGUAGUCCUAGCCGUAAACGUUGGGUGCUAGGUGUGGGCGGAUAUCGACCCCGUCCGUGCCGAAGCUAACGCAUUAAGCACCCCGCCUGGGGAGUACGGCCGCAAGGCUAAAACUCAAAGGAAUUGACGGGGGCCCGCACAAGCGGCGGAGCAUGUGGCUUAAUUCGAAGCAACGCGAAGAACCUUACCUGGGCUUGACAUGCGGGGUGAAACCGUAGAGAUACGGCGCUCCUCGGAGCCCGCACAGGUGGUGCAUGGCUGUCGUCAGCUCGUGCCGUGAGGUGUUGCCUUAAGUGGCGCAACGAGCGCAACCCCUGUCCUUAGUUGCCAGCGGGUAAUGCCGGGAACUCUAGGGAGACUGCCGGUGCCAAACCGGAGGAAGGUGGGGAUGACGUCAAGUCAUCAUGCCCCUUAUGUCCAGGGCUGCACACAUGCUACAAUGCGCGAUACAGAGGGUUGCGAUCCCGCAAGGGGGAGCGAAUCCCAAAAAGUCGCGCUCAGUUCGGAUCGGGGUCUGCAACUCGACCCCGUGAAGUCGGAGUCGCUAGUAAUCGCAGAUCAGCAAUGCUGCGGUGAAUACGUUCCCGGGCCUUGUACACACCGCCCGUCACACCACGAAAGUGGGCAACACCCGAAGCCGGUGGCCUAACCCUUGUGGAGGGAGCCGUCGAAGGUGGGGCUCGCGAUUGGGGUGAAGUCGUAACAAGGUAGCCGUACCGGAAGGUGCGGCUG